rnacentral:rRNA from 1 species
CCUACGGGUGGCAGCAGUGGGGAAUAUUGCGCAAUGGGCGAAAGCCUGAUGCAGCGACGCCGCGUGAGGGAUGAAGGUUUUCGGAUCGUAAACCUCUGUCAGAAGGGAAGAAGUUGCAUGUGGCUAACCACGUGUGCAUUGACGGUACCUUCAAAGGAAGCACCGGCUAACUCCGUGCCAGCAGCUGCGGUAAUACGGAGGGUGCGAGCGUUAAUCGGAAUUACUGGGCGUAAAGGGCACGUAGGCUGGAUGUCAAGCCAAGGGUGAAAUCCCACGGCUCAACCGUGGAACUGCCUUUGAAACUGGCAAACUGGAGUAUAGGAGAGGGCGGCGGAAUUCCUGGUGUAGCAGUGAAAUCCGUAGAUAUCAGGAGGAACAUCGGUGGCGAAGGCGGCCGCCUGGAAUGAAACUGACGCUGAGGUGCGAAAGCGUGGGUAGCAAACAGGAUUAGAUACCCGAGUAGUC